CCUACGGGAGGCAGCAGUGGGGAAUAUUGGGCAAUGGGCGCAAGCCUGACCCAGCAACGCCGCGUGAAGGAAGAAGGCUUUCGGGUUGUAAACUUCUUUUAAGGGGGAAGAGCAGAAGACGGUACCCCUUGAAUAAGCCACGGCUAACUACGUGCCAGCAGCCGCGGUAAUACGUAGGUGGCAAGCGUUGUACGUAUUUACUGGGUGUAAAGGGCGUGCAGCCGGAGAGACAAGUCAGAUGUGAAAUCCACGGGCUCAUACCGUGAACUGCAUUUGAAACUGUUUCCCUUGAGUGUCGGAGAGGUAAUCGGAAUUCCUUGUGUAGCGGUGAAAUGCGUAGAUAUAAGGAAGAACACCAGUGGCGAGGGCGGAUUACUGGACGAUAACUGACGGUGAGGCGCGAAAGCGUGGGAGCAAACAGGAUUAGAUACCCCAGUAGUC
rnacentral:rRNA from 1 species